CCAAUCGAACCCGGAGAUAGCUGGUUCUCCUCGAAAUAGCUUUAGGGCUAGCCUCAUGAGAGUCUUAUGGAGGUAGAGCACUGAAUUGCCUAGGGGGCGUCAAAGCUUACCAAAGCAUAUCAAACUCCGAAUGCCAUCAAGAUGAUUCAUGGGAGUCAGACCAUACGAGAUAAGUUGGAUGGUCAAAAGGGAAAGAGCCCAGACCUACAGCUAAGGUCCCAAAGUGCGUGUUAAGUGGAAAAGGAUGUGGGGAUUCUAAGACAACUAGGACGUUGGCUUAGAAGCAGCCAUUCAUUGAAAGAGUGCGUAAUAGCUCACUAGUCGAGAGUCCCUGCGCCGAAAAUGUCCGGGGCUGAAACACGACACCGAAGCUUAGGAAUGUGUAAACAUUGGUAGAGGAGCAUUGCUAGCGGGAUGAAGCCAUACCGUAAGGAGUGGUGGACUGCUAGGAAGAGAGAAUGCCGGAAUGAGUAGCGAGAUGAAGGUGAGAAUCCUUCAGGCCGAAUAUCUAAGGUUUCCAGAGUAAAGCUGAUCUGCUCUGGGUAAGUCGGGACCUAAGGCGAGGUCGAAAGACGUAGUCGAUGGAUAACAGGUUGAAAUUCCUGUACUAUCCUGUAACAGAACUGUGGGGACACAGGCAGAGAGCGUGAGCCGGGAAUGGAAAGACCGGUACAAGCGAGGUAGGAGAAGAGCUGGCAAAUCCGCUCUUCAAUCUGAAGACGUGAUGUGGACCGAAAAGAAGUAGGGAAGCACGUGAGCUGACUGUCAAGAAAAGCCGCUAUUGUUUGCAGGAUACCCGUACCGUAAACCGACACAGGUGGAUGAGGAGAGAAUCCUAAGGCCGACGGGAGAAGCAUUGUUAAGGAACUCGGCAAAAUGACUCCGUAACUUCGGGAGAAGGAGUGCCAGUAAGAUGGCCGCAGAGAAUUGGCCCAAGCAACUGUUUAGCAAAAACACAGGUCUAUGCAAAACCGAAAGGUGAGGUAUAUGGGCUGACGCCUGCCCGGUGCUGGAAGGUUAAGGGGAGAGGUUAGCGCAAGCGAAGCUUUGAACUUAAGCCCCAGUAAACGGCGGCCGUAACUAUAACGGUCCUAAGGUAGCGAAAUUCCUUGUCGGGUAAGUUCCGACCCGCACGAAAGGCGUAAUGAUUUGGGCACUGUCUCAACGAGAGACUCGGUGAAAUUUUAGUACCUGUGAAGAUGCAGGUUACCCGCGACAGGACGGAAAGACCCCAUGGAGCUUUACUGCAGUUUGAUAUUGAGUAUCUGUACCACAUGUACAGGAUAGGUAGGAGCCUAUGACCUCGGGACGCCAGUUUCGAGUGAGGCGUUGUUGGGAUACUACCCUUGUGUUAUGGCUACUCUAACCCAGAUAGGUUAUCCCUAUCGGAGACAGUGUCUGACGGGCAGUUUGACUGGGGCGGUCGCCUCCUAAAAGGUAACGGAGGCGCCCAAAGGUUCCCUCAGAAUGGUUGGAAAUCAUUCGCAGAGUGUAAAGGUAUAAGGGAGCUUGACUGCGAGAGCUACAACUCGAGCAGGGACGAAAGUCGGGCUUAGUGAUCCGGUGGUUCCGUAUGGAAGGGCCAUCGCUCAACGGAUAAAAGCUACCCUGGGGAUAACAGGCUUAUCUCCCCCAAGAGUUCACAUCGACGGGGAGGUUUGGCACCUCGAUGUCGGCUCAUCGCAUCCUGGGGCUGUAUUCGGUCCCAAGGGUUUGGCUGUUCGCCAAUUAAAGCGGCACGCGAGCUGGGUUCAGAACGUCGUGAGACAGUUCGGUCCCUAUCCGUCGCGGGCGUAGGAAAUUUGAGAGGAUCUGCUCCUAGUACGAGAGGACCAGAGUGGACUUACCGCUGGUGUACCAGUUGUUCUGCCAAGAGCAUCGCUGGGUAGCUAUGUAGGGAAGGGAUAAACGCUGAAAGCAUCUAAGUGUGAAGCCCACCUCAAGAUGAGAUUUCCCAUGAUUUUAUAUCAGUAAGAGCCCUGAGAGAUGAUCAGGUUGAUAGGUUAGAAGUGGAAGUGUGGUGACACAUGUAGCGGACUAAUACUAAUAGCUCGAGGACUUAUCCAA
rnacentral:rRNA from 1 species